GAGAGGCAGCAUUCUAGGAAGGAAGCAGCUUCAAAGAGCAUGACCCCUGGCUGCGGAGAAGAGAGCCAACCAUGGACUCAAGGGAGAAUUAGAACUCGCAGUUGGCAGUUGACCUUCAUAGAGAAGCUUGCCUGGGAAACUCACAUGAGUGACCAAUCCAGAAGAGACUUUGUGCCCAGGGAGGAGCAGAGUAAGAGCAUGAGAAGAUGAAGGGCUUCAAACCCUACAGUACUAGAGACUCUACCUAAAUGCAAGCUACCCUGUGGGCCUGGGACCAUGAACUUGGAGGAGAUCCUGGUUCUGAAGGGGUCUUGUGAAUAGGAGGUAAGGUGGAAGUGGGAGAGGAGCCCAACUUCUGACAAGAUACAUAGAAGAUGCUUGGACCUAGAAGAAGAGAGGUAGAAUGAAGCUACAUAAAACUGGAAGAGCAGAAGCAGAAACAGCAUCAAAUCCAGCUGCUGUGUGGAGAGGAAACCGAACUUGGGGAGCAAGGAAGUAUAGGCUGAUGUGGCAGCUGGUGUGAUGGUGUGGAUACAAUGUGGAUACAUCCCACCUGCAUCCUCAAUGCUGGCCCCAAGGAGGUGAACCUUCUUGGGUUUUUUUUUUCUCUCUUUGAUAACCUUUAUGGAAGCCUAAAGCUUUUUUUCCUCUGGACACAAGAACAUUCUAUUUCUUAAAUGCAUGCUCAACUUUCUUUGUUUUAACCAUUUAUUUUGUCUUAGCUGAAAUAAAUGGUGUUAACCUCAGUCAUUUGCUGAUGUGGGUAUACUUAUAGGGUAUGCCGUUGUGCUUAAUGUUGUGUUGUU